UUUGCAAGGAAUUUGGAUGAAGUAAUAUUGCGUACACUGGCCAAAAUGGUACAAUAUGCAAUAAACUUUUUUUUUUCUUUUUCUUUUUGGUCGGACAAAGAUGCUAUCACCAGCAAAUUCCAAUUUUGAAUAUUAGCAGAAUUUGAAAAGGACUUAAUGCUCAUGGAGCUAUUAUAAUUGUGGCAGAAAGAAUGGUGUAAUAGUGGGGCUGAAGUGGAAGAACAAGGGAUGAGCAAAGCCGAGGACAGGAAGAUGCUCUCAACCUUUGAAGAGCAAAGUUUGAUGAUGACUUUCUUACCUCUUUGCAGAGUCUUUGAUCCUACAAGAUAAUUGCAACACAGCUACUUAUAAGAAGAAUUUCUAGCCUCC
rnacentral:lncRNA from 1 species